GGGUUGUAAACUUCUUUUAUAUUAGAAUAAAGUGCAGUAUGUAUACUGUUUUGUAUGUAUAAUAUGAAUAAGGAUCGGCUAACUCCGUGCCAGCAGCCGCGGUAAUACGGAGGAUCCGAGCGUUAUCCGGAUUUAUUGGGUUUAAAGGGAGCGUAGGUGGGCUGGUAAGUCAGUUGUGAAAGUUUGCGGCUCAACCGUAAAAUUGCAGUUGAUACUGUCAGUCCUGAGUACAGUAGAGGUGGGCGGAAUUCGUGGUGUAGCGGUGAAAUGCUUAGAUAUCACGAAGAACUCCGAUUGCGAAGGCAGCUCACUGGACUGCAACUGACACUGAUGCUCGAAAGUGUGGGUAUCAAACAGGAUUAGAUACCCUGGUAGUCCACACAGUAAA
rnacentral:rRNA from 1 species